UACGUAGGGGGCAAGCGUUAUCCGGAAUCACUGGGCGUAAAGGGUGCGUAGGCGGUCUAUCAAGUCAGGGGUGAAAGGCAUUGGCUCAACCAAUGUAAGCCUUUGAAACUGAUGGACUUGAGUGCAGGAGAGGUAAGUGGAAUUCCUAGUGUAGAGGUGAAAUGCGUAGAUAUUAGGAGGAACACCAGUGGCGAAGGCGACUUACUGGACUGUAACUGACGCUGAGGAACGAAAGCGUGGGUAGUGAACAGG
rnacentral:rRNA from 1 species